CUCCAAAAUCAUCUGACCCACGUGUGUUCUAUUUUCCACUGAGAUGUUUCUUUGAAUCUCCGAAACCUUAUUUUUCAUAUCUUUGUCCUUUAACAUAUGUAGUUGUCGCUCUGCCUUCAAUGUCUGCGUAUCAUUUCCUACCUCUUUAUCGCGUCUAACCUUCAUCUUACCUUAGUCAUUGUAACUCUCAUGAUGUUACUUAAUCUCCUCUGCCCCUCGAUCAUGAUUUACCAACUCAAUAAUUGCUUUACAUUAGGAGUAAACUCGCACAUUAUUUGGUUUCAUCUUGAUAGCAAGCUGAAGAGCAUGAAUGAUCGCUUGACCAUCUAAUGCCAUGGGGUUACUAAAGCCUCUUCGCUUCCAAGUCCCAUCCGCCAGAUUAUCUUGUUAUUCAAGGUAGCUUGAUCAUUAGCUUCAGAGUUGUCGAAGAUAUUGAUACUCUCUUGGUUGCCUUGCUUGUGAUUUUGGAAUUGCUUUGUCCAAGUCUACUGAUCUUGAUUAACCUUAUUCAUAGGGUUUAUCCCAUUGAUUAUUGUGGGGGUGCUUGGUACUUUCCUGAUCAUCUUGUUUUGUCAUAUUUGUGUUGUUAUGCUUAGGGUACUUAGCCUUCUCUUGAGUGAUUUUUUUUCAUGACUUUAAUUUGUGGUCUUGUUAUUGUCAACAACCAUAUUAUUCAUGUGCUUACUGUCUACGACCUUUUGACUAUAAUUGUACUUAUUCUCCACGAGGUAAUAAUUCUUCUUUGACCAUCUUCCUUCAAUUUUUUUGUUAUCAUUCCCAAUGUUUCUCUGAUAAUGAUGUUUAUCAGGAUUCCAAUCAGGGGUUUGAUACAUGUUUCCCUUACCCUUCCUGUGGUAAUUGCUUUUCUCCCAGUGAUACUUAUCUUUGUCCUUAUUUCUCUUGCAGUGAAUAAUUUAAUUUUGGAAAUAAUCCUCUUUAUCUUUGACAUAACAAUUCUCGAAAUUUCCUCGUUGGUGCUUGGAACACUCUCAAUUUUCCAUUCUUCCCUUCUGAUAACGUGAUCUCCCCCACAUUGAAAAGCUCCAGUUCCAUGAUGGUGAAAGUAGUAUCUUCGAAAAGGAGAAAGUAACUGUUUAUGUUGUGAACAACAUAACCAAUGUGAAACUAGGUGUUCGUUGCAAAGACAAAAACAAUGAUGCUGGGUAUCAAGAACUAGAUUUUAAUCAAAGUUAUGCCUUCACUUUUAGGCCUAUGGCUAUUAUAGAGAAAAGCCUAUGGUUUUGUAGGUUUACAUGGCCUAAUGAAUUUUACUACUUUGAUAUUUAUAAAGAAGCACGAGAUGAGGAUACUUGCAACACAGAAUGUCAUUGGGAGAUAAAUAAAUCAGGACCAUGUAGAGUUAAUGGUUAUAACCUAGAUUGUUAUCCUUGGAAUAAAAAGGUUGUUGUACAAAAGGGACAAGAUGAAAUAAAUAAUCCCCUUAUUGUGUAACUAUAGGUUCAUGUAUUUUUCCUUGAAAUUUAUGUAGAUUGAAGAAUGAGAUAUUGAAAUAAUGCUGUUAUAGUUAAUAAUCAUAUGUCGAUCAUUAUGCAUUAUGCAUUAUGAGUUUGAUCUUCAUUUCUUAUUCGAAA